rnacentral:rRNA from 2 species
UUGAAGACGACGAGGUAGAUAGGCUGGGGGUGGAAGUGCAGCAAUGCAUGGAGCUGACCAGUACUAAUCGGUCGAGGGCUUAUCCAA